UACAACCAAGGUGAAAGUUUAGCGUCAGACAUUCUGGUUGCAAAAGAUGGCUUAACCCACAAGUGCUGACUGUUUGCUGAAAGGAUGAAUGCGUGUCCCACCUGUAGCUGCAGGUUUGUAUGUGUCAACUCUUCAGCUUUCUUCUCCAGCGAUGACACCCACACUUUCCUCUUCUG